CAGAAAGUAGUUUAUAAAAACAUUAACAUUGGAAGUUAAAAAUCAGAUAUUAAAUCUGCUUUCUGA
rnacentral:tRNA from 1 species